rnacentral:rRNA from 1 species
UAAGCGACUAAGCGUACACGGUGGAUGCCCUGGCAGUCAGAGGCGAUGAAGGACGUGCUAAUCUGCGAUAAGCGUCGGUAAGGUGAUAUGAACCGUUAUAACCGGCGAUUUCCGAAUGGGGAAACCCAGUGUGUUUCGACACACUAUCAUUAACUGAAUCCAUAGGUUAAUGAGGCGAACCGGGGGAACUGAAACAUCUAAGUACCCCGAGGAAAAGAAAUCAACCGAGAUUCCCCCAGUAGCGGCGAGCGAACGGGGAGCAGCCCAGAGCCUGAAUCAGUGUGUGUGUUAGUGGAAGCGUCUGGAAAGGCGCGCGAUACAGGGUGACAGCCCCGUACACAAAAAUGCACAUAUUGUGAGCUCGAUGAGUAGGGCGGGACACGUGGUAUCCUGUCUGAAUAUGGGGGGACCAUCCUCCAAGGCUAAAUACUCCUGACUGACCGAUAGUGAACCAGUACCGUGAGGGAAAGGCGAAAAGAACCCCGGCGAGGGGAGUGAAAAAGAACCUGAAACCGUGUACGUACAAGCAGUGGGAGCCUCUUUAUGGGGUGACUGCGUACCUUUUGUAUAAUGGGUCAGCGACUUAUAUUCUGUAGCAAGGUUAACCGAAUAGGGGAGCCGAAGGGAAACCGAGUCUUAACUGGGCGUUAAGUUGCAGGGUAUAGACCCGAAACCCGGUGAUCUAGCCAUGGGCAGGUUGAAGGUUGGGUAACACUAACUGGAGGACCGAACCGACUAAUGUUGAAAAAUUAGCGGAUGACUUGUGGCUGGGGGUGAAAGGCCAAUCAAACCGGGAGAUAGCUGGUUCUCCCCGAAAGCUAUUUAGGUAGCGCCUCGUGAAUUCAUCUCCGGGGGUAGAGCACUGUUUCGGCAAGGGGGUCAUCCCGACUUACCAACCCGAUGCAAACUGCGAAUACCGGAGAAUGUUAUCACGGGAGACACACGGCGGGUGCUAACGUCCGUCGUGAAGAGGGAAACAACCCAGACCGCCAGCUAAGGUCCCAAAGUCAUGGUUAAGUGGGAAACGAUGUGGGAAGGCCCAGACAGCCAGGAUGUUGGCUUAGAAGCAGCCAUCAUUUAAAGAAAGCGUAAUAGCUCACUGGUCGAGUCGGCCUGCGCGGAAGAUGUAACGGGGCUAAACCAUGCACCGAAGCUGCGGCAGCGACACUAUGUGUUGUUGGGUAGGGGAGCGUUCUGUAAGCCUGUGAAGGUGUGCUGUGAGGUAUGCUGGAGGUAUCAGAAGUGCGAAUGCUGACAUAAGUAACGAUAAAGCGGGUGAAAAGCCCGCUCGCCGGAAGACCAAGGGUUCCUGUCCAACGUUAAUCGGGGCAGGGUGAGUCGACCCCUAAGGCGAGGCCGAAAGGCGUAGUCGAUGGGAAACAGGUUAAUAUUCCUGUACUUGGUGUUACUGCGAAGGGGGGACGGAGAAGGCUAUGUUGGCCGGGCGACGGUUGUCCCGGUUUAAGCGUGUAGGCUGGUUUUCCAGGCAAAUCCGGAAAAUCAAGGCUGAGGCGUGAUGACGAGGCACUACGGUGCUGAAGCAACAAAUGCCCUGCUUCCAGGAAAAGCCUCUAAGCAUCAGGUAACAUCAAAUCGUACCCCAAACCGACACAGGUGGUCAGGUAGAGAAUACCAAGGCGCUUGAGAGAACUCGGGUGAAGGAACUAGGCAAAAUGGUGCCGUAACUUCGGGAGAAGGCACGCUGAUAUGUAGGUGAAGUCCCUUGCGGAUGGAGCUGAAAUCAGUCGAAGAUACCAGCUGGCUGCAACUGUUUAUUAAAAACACAGCACUGUGCAAACACGAAAGUGGACGUAUACGGUGUGACGCCUGCCCGGUGCCGGAAGGUUAAUUGAUGGGGUUAGCGGUAACGCGAAGCUCUUGAUCGAAGCCCCGGUAAACGGCGGCCGUAACUAUAACGGUCCUAAGGUAGCGAAAUUCCUUGUCGGGUAAGUUCCGACCUGCACGAAUGGCGUAAUGAUGGCCAGGCUGUCUCCACCCGAGACUCAGUGAAAUUGAACUCGCUGUGAAGAUGCAGUGUACCCGCGGCAAGACGGAAAGACCCCGUGAACCUUUACUAUAGCUUGACACUGAACAUUGAGCCUUGAUGUGUAGGAUAGGUGGGAGGCUUUGAAGUGUGGACGCCAGUCUGCAUGGAGCCGACCUUGAAAUACCACCCUUUAAUGUUUGAUGUUCUAACGUUGGCCCCUAAUCGGGGUUGCGGACAGUGUCUGGUGGGUAGUUUGACUGGGGCGGUCUCCUCCUAAAGAGUAACGGAGGAGCACGAAGGUUGGCUAAUCCUGGUCGGACAUCAGGAGGUUAGUGCAAUGGCAUAAGCCAGCUUGACUGCGAGCGUGACGGCGCGAGCAGGUGCGAAAGCAGGUCAUAGUGAUCCGGUGGUUCUGAAUGGAAGGGCCAUCGCUCAACGGAUAAAAGGUACUCCGGGGAUAACAGGCUGAUACCGCCCAAGAGUUCAUAUCGACGGCGGUGUUUGGCACCUCGAUGUCGGCUCAUCACAUCCUGGGGCUGAAGUAGGUCCCAAGGGUAUGGCUGUUCGCCAUUUAAAGUGGUACGCGAGCUGGGUUUAGAACGUCGUGAGACAGUUCGGUCCCUAUCUGCCGUGGGCGCUGGAGAACUGAGGGGGGCUGCUCCUAGUACGAGAGGACCGGAGUGGACGCAUCACUGGUGUUCGGGUUGUCAUGCCAAUGGCACUGCCCGGUAGCUAAAUGCGGAAGAGAUAAGUGCUGAAAGCAUCUAAGCACGAAACUUGCCCCGAGAUGAGUUCUCCCUGACCCUUUAAGGGUCCUGAAGGAACGUUGAAGACGACGACGUUGAUAGGCCGGGUGUGUAAGCGCAGCGAUGCGUUGAGCUAACCGGUACUAAUGAACCGUGAGGCUUAACCU